rnacentral:lncRNA from 1 species
GAGUAAAAGCAAGAAGAGCCGCGACAGCAACUGCCAUCACAAGAACUGCUUUAUACAACUUGUUCAGAAAGCUAUUAAAAACAGAAUCUUUUUCAACCCCGUCUUCUUUAUUCAGAAACAAAGUCACACAUUGGGGAACAUAUUCUGAGUAAAACAACUCAGCUUUUUCUGAAGAAUCAUUGAGCUGAUUAUGAAUUAGAGGUUGUGAGGAGAAAAUUGAUUUAGCGGCAUCAGAAGAGAGUGCUUUUGUGUAUUCACCCGAUUCGAUUAGUUCGAGAAUUUGCUCAAUGAGGGUG